rnacentral:misc_RNA from 1 species
CGGAAACACCGUUUUAAGUGUUUCCGUAUAUAUUGCAAUAAACUAUUCUAUUACAAUUCCUUUUGUGCGAGAUGGGUAUUCCCCUCUUGAUAGAUAUGCGGUAAACUUUGUUUUGUUUACCGUGAAAGGAAAUUAUUUAUGAAGAACAAGAGCAUUCAAUAAAUUGAAGGACAGUUUGAAUAGCUCAGCUGUGCACAAAUUAUACUAACAAGUUAGUUUUCCAUCAAGAUAAAGUUUCUUGGAAAAAAAGAUUUUGACUUUUAAACUCUCUCCGAGAGGAGUGCAGUCUUAAAAGUUAAUAAAAACUU